ensembl:snRNA U6 U6 spliceosomal RNA
AUGGUAGAACCAGCACAUAUGCUAAAAUUGCAAUGAUACAGAGAAGAUUAACAUGGCCCCUGCGCAAGGAUGACCUUUCCCCUGGGGAAGGAAAAACUGCUCCU